GUGCUCACGUCAGCAGCAUAUAUACCAAGGUUGGAAUGGCAAAGAGAAGAUUAGCAUGGACCUUAUGUAAGAAUGACAUAAAAAUGCAUGAAGCAUCCUAAAAUUUU
rnacentral:snRNA from 1 species